rnacentral:lncRNA from 1 species
AUAACCGAGGCCUUGUCUGCAGAGUAACACACCAGGCCCAAACCCACCGCCCUCGGCAGCCGCCCCACGCGGGCCCUUCCUCGGCAGACUUCCCAACCUCUACUUGAGCCGCAGAGGAAAGUGAGACCCCCUAGGCUCUCCUGAAGCCAGCUCUGGGCCCCUCCCCAAGGAUGCUUUGGGAAGGAGAUAAGGAGGUGAGAUAGAAUCUGGCAGAGACGGAAGAUGAAAAAAAGACCAACGGAAGAAAAGAAAGCAGGAAGGAGCAAAGGAAAGAAGAAAAAAAGAAAGAAGAGAUAAAAGAGGAAGGGAAGACAGGGAAAAGAAGGAAGAAAAGAGAGGCGACUCCUAGCAGCGGCCGAGCUUACAGAGAGAAGGGUGGAGGUGUGUGGUGGAAGGGGAAAGCCGGCCGGCUGGCAAAGCGCUGCGGAGAAAGACACGAGGCUCCUGAGCAGGGAAAGCCGAGGUUGCCA